rnacentral:rRNA from 1 species
UACGAGAGGCCCAAACGUUUAUUCGGAAUUACUGGGCUUAAAGAGUUCGUAGGCGGCGCGGAAAGUGGGGUGUGAAAGCCCUCGGCUCAACCGAGGAAUUGCGCUCCAAACUACCGUGCUUGAGGAAGCUAGAGGUGAGCGGAACUGAUGGUGUAGCGGUGAAAUGCGCAGAUAUCGGGAGGAACACCAGUAGCGAAGGCGGCACUCUGGGCCGUGACUGACGCUGAGGAGCGAAAGCGUGGGUAGCAAACAGG